UCGAUUUGGAGUUUGUUGCCUAGAGUGAUGGGCUCCGAAGCUAACGCGAUAAAUCGACCGCCUGGGGAGUACGGCCGCAAGGUUAAAACUCAAAUGAAUUGACGGGGGCCCGCACAAGCGGUGGAGCAUGUGGUUUAAUUCGAUGCAACGCGAAGAACCUUACCUGGUCUUGACAUCCACAGAAUCUUUCAGAGAUGAGGGAGUGCCUUCGGGAACUGUGAGACAGGUGCUGCAUGGCUGUCGUCAGCUCGUGUUGUGAAAUGUUGGGUUAAGUCCCGCAACGAGCGCAACCCUUAUCCUUUGUUGCCAGCGAUUAGGUCGGGAACUCAAAGGAGACUGCCGUUGAUAAAACGGAGGAAGGUGGGGACGACGUCAAGUCAUCAUGGCCCUUACGACCAGGGCUACACACGUGCUACAAUGGCGUAUACAAAGGGAAGCGAAGGUGCGAGCUGGAGCGGACCUCCUAAAGUACGUCUAAGUCCGGAUUGGAGUCUGCAACUCGACUCCAUGAAGUCGGAAUCGCUAGUAAUCGUGAAUCAGAAUGUCACGGUGAAUACGUUCCCGGGCCU
rnacentral:rRNA from 1 species